UUUAUCCUCUGUGUAGAUGCUCCAUUUAUUUUUGCAAAGCCAACUCAUUCAUUACAGCUAGCUCUUAGUAAAAUGAAGCAUUCAACUGGGAAGGUUGGCUUAUGGCAGUCAGCCUAAAGACAUCUCCAAUUUUGUUUUGAAUUAAUUGAUACAGGCCCAGUGUAACAGCUCUUACAGCCCAUGUGCAGCAUGGGGUGCCUUCUCUCCUUGGACUUGCUUUGAGAGUGAAUCAUUCCAUGGAGAGAGACAAGGUGCUGCAGAGGACAUCCUGGGGAGUCUUCCUGGCACUCCCAUUGUCUGGAGGAGUCUAAGGAAAUCCACCCAGGCUAAGAUAUCACAGCUCGCCAAGUGCAAGGCACAGGGAGGAGCAGCAGCGAAGAUUUCAGAGGAUCUGGCUAAUUUCUCUCUCUCCUGGCUGGCAUUAAGGAGCAAAUAACUGAGGAUUUGUACCUGCUCAUUGGAAAUUAAUCCCCAAAGGUUUGUGGAGACAGAGGGAAGGUGGUUUUCAGGCACGGCCCACCAGAUGCCAACAGGGGGAGUUUCAGCUCUGCCUCAGAUUUAGGCCUCUGACAGUCUCCUCACCUUUGCUGAUAUUGAUCAUGAGGGAUAAAAGUUAUUUAUUUUCCCACAUUUCAAUAACAUUUCUUAACGCCUCUUUCCUUUAAAGAAACACUUCCGCAACUCUUCUAUAGAUUGAAAAUGAAAGAGCAGUUCAUAUCUCUUGUUGAAAUCCUUUUUAAAAGAGACCAGAGAUGGAAUGGUUCUAUACCUUGCUUUGCUGGAAGGAAAGAAAGCUAAUUUGCCUCUGGGAAAAAUCAAAACCAGAUUUUAGAGAGUAAUCUCCAUUUCUCUCUCCUCCCUAAAAACCCUGAUGAUGAGGCACAGUUGACUUCUCUUGCUCAUUUUGCAUUGACUAAGAUUUGAGUGAUAAGAUUUUAGAAAACAAAAAAUCUGCUUCUGGCCUACCAGUUUAAACAAAUUAACUCAUAGCCAGAUAGAAAACAUUAAAAAAAUAUAUACCUCUUUGUUAUAUUUGUUUGUUUAAGGGGGCAAUAAAUAGAAGGACUUCCAUUGUGAGGAGGAAAUA
rnacentral:lncRNA from 1 species